rnacentral:rRNA from 1 species
AUUGAACGCUGGCGGCAUGCCUUACACAUGCAAGUCGAACGGCAGCACGGGAGCAAUCCUGGUGGCGAGUGGCGAACGGGUGAGUAAUAUAUCGGAACGUGCCCAGUCGUGGGGGAUAACGCAGCGAAAGCUGUGCCAAUACCGCAUACGAUCUACGGAUGAAAGCGGGGGAUCGCAAGACCUCGCGCGAUUGGAGCGGCCGAUAUCAGAUUAGCUAGUUGGGGGGGUAAAGGCCUACCAAGGCGACGAUCUGUAGCUGGUCUGAGAGGACGACCAGCCACACUGGAACUGAGACACGGUCCAGACUCCUACGGGAGGCAGCAGUGGGGAAUUUUGGACAAUGGGCGCAAGCCUGAUCCAGCAAUGCCGCGUGCAGGAUGAAGGCCUUCGGGUUGUAAACUGCUUUUGUACGGAACGAAACGGUGAGCUCUAAUACAGUUUGCUAAUGACGGUACCGUAAGAAUAAGCACCGGCUAACUACGUGCCAGCCGCCGCCGUAAGAC